rnacentral:rRNA from 1 species
GUGGGUACCUGCCCCUUGGUCCGGAAUAGCUGCGGGAAACUGCAGGUAAUGCCGGAUAACAUCCUCGGAUCAAAGGUGUGAUUCCGCCGAGGGAGGGGCCCGCGUUCUAUUAGCUAGUUGGUAGGGUAAUGGCCUACCAAGGCGACGAUGGAUACCGGGUGUGAGAGCAUGACCCGGCUCACUGGGACUGAGACACUGCCCAGACACCUACGGGUGGCUGCAGUCGAGAAUCUUCGGCAAUGGGCGCAAGCCUGACCGAGCGACGCCGCGUGCGGGAUGAAGGCCUUCGGGUUGUAAACCGCUGUCAGUGGGGAGGAAAUGCCAUGGGGUUCUCUCCAUGGUUUGACCUAUCCGCAGAGGAAGGACGGGCUAAGUUCGUGCCAGCAGCCGCGGUAAGACGAACCGUCCAAACGUUAUUCGGAAUUAUUGGGCUUAAAGGGUGCGUAGGCUGUGCAGUAAGUUGGGUGUGAAAUCCCUCGGCUCAACCGAGGAACUGCGCCGAAUACUGCUGUGCUA